UAACUCUAACAAGUCUGACCUGCAGAUGGGAAGAUAAGGAUCAUAAUCAAGAUUCUCAAGGGACAACACAUGGAAGGAUUUUGAUUACAACAGCAGAAAGGAACACAAGCUUAAUAUCUUCUCCAUAUAAUUUCUAUCUGGUACGUUGUAAUUUGCCAUGUCAGAUAAGGUCGCUUGUAAAAUUCUGACCAUUCGAGCAUAUCCUCUACCUUUUUAUCCCCUCUCAGUAUGUGUUAUUUCUUCAUAAAAUAAAAAUAAAGGAACACAAA
rnacentral:misc_RNA from 1 species